rnacentral:rRNA from 1 species
UACAGAGGUCUCAAGCGUUGUUCGGAUUCAUUGGGCGUAAAGGGUGCGUAGGCGGCGCGGUAAGUCGGGUGUGAAAUCUUGGAGCUUAACUCCGAAACUGCAUUCGAUACUGCCGUGCUUGAGGACUGGAGAGGAGACUGGAAUUUACGGUGUAGCGGUGAAAUGCGUAGAUAUCGAGAGGAACACCGGUGGCGAAGGCGGCGAUCUGGACGAUGACUGACGCUGAGACGCGAAAGCGUGGGGAGCAAACAGG